rnacentral:lncRNA from 1 species
AGAGAGAGAGACAGAGAGGUCUACUUCUACCUUGUCGGAAUCGGCGAAAUCGACGGGAAAUCGACGGCCGAAUCGACGGAAUUGUUGGAAGGUGCCUCAAAUGGCGUCGGGAUUUUCGGCAUAGCUUUCGGUAUCGUUCUCCCCGCGUAUUUUUGUUUCUCCUGCGUUCUACGUAAAAUGAUCUACUGCUGCUGUACGCUCCUCUCUGGAACUCUAAACCUGGAUUUUUUUUUCUUUGAUUUUUGCAUGCUUAUCGUGUAGAUUUUCAUGGAUGAUGUACAAAGCAUUACCGUGGCAAGAACAAUGAUCCGGCCAACUCAGUCGGGAAUCACUAAAUUUACGGUCGUGGCUCAUUAAACGAAGAGUAGUUUGAUCUGUUUUGCAUACUUUGUCAAUGAAUGCCAAAAGUUACAUGACAUAGAAGAAUCUGAAAUGCGACAGCAACCAUCCGGUAGAUAAGCUCCGAGUACGAUGAAUAGGAUCACUGCUGUCGCUCUUGAAGCUGUCACACUCCUCAAUUUGGAAUUCAGCUGUCGCAAAAACUUGUCCUACGGAAGAUGACGGAAAAUUGAUCGACGGCAUCGUAUCAAACUGUACGAGCUGUCUUGAUGGAAAUACUGUCCAAGUUCUUCAACCUCACAACGGAUUCAACAUGCCCUCUUAAGGCAUGUAAUUCCCCCAGCCUGCGGAAAAUUUCACAUAAUCUUGAAUUAGAUCCCAUACUGCAUGAUUUGACGUCAAAAACCAAGUUAGAGAUGCAUUGAAUGGCACAAGACGGUAUCCUUUUCUAAGUGCCGACUUGUCAAGUGGAGUGAUAAACACCAAGUUAAGGCAGAAUUUUGAAGGGGGUGCUGAAGACGAGAGGAAAAAAAUAUGGGAAGACAGGUCAUGGAAGCUUACAGAAGAAUGAAUGGGGAAAAAACAUUGGAGCUAGUGUUUGUGUUUGGCUUAUGAAUGGAUAUGUUUCUCGUACGUAUUACCUAGCUAUUUCAGCACGUCUCCGUGCCUGCUCUGCCAUCCCUGAUGACCGUCUGGCAUCUCUUUCCAGAUCUGUAGAUGAAAUCCCUUCAAGACUUUUCUGUGAGCGUAGCCAUUUUGCUUCCCUGUCCUCUUUUCCAUAAUCUUUCUUUGUUGUAAAAGCCGUCUGUCAUCGAUGAAGGCAAGGCAUACAGACAGGGAUUAUAAACUUGUCUGAAAACUACAGGGACGGAAAUACAUGCACUCAUGCACCAUUGUGUAAACUCUCAUUGUAAUAUACAAACAGACAGUGCUACUAAGUCCUACCAAUAAUACCAGCUAAUAAUGAGACUUGUAAGGGCUUGAAAAUGGAUCGUACCUUCCUAUCAAACAGCAGGGCCCAUGCGUCCCCACUGAGAGCAUAUCGAACUGUGAACUUGAUGAUGUCAAGGGGAACGUAGAAGAUUAAACUGUAUAGCCAUAUUACACCAGCCCACCCCCAGCCAAUUCCAUGAAUAUAUGCAAAGGUGAUAUGUGCAUAAACAGCAAUGAGGGUUGCUACCUGGAUGGCAAAAUGAAUUAGCACCAUGAAUUAUUGGCAUAAUGAAGAAAUGGAGACCAAGUUCUGAAACUGCAUUCAAUAUAGAAAAUCACUGUUCCUCUGGUAGAAGUUAUAAGGAACUAGAUCUCCAGUUUCAUACUAAACACGGUAAUGUGUCUGAAACAUCUGGGGGUGGAAAAUAAUGUAAAACUUGUACUUUUAUUGAACUAGUUUACCAAUUCACUAGUGAUAACAAUAUAAAGCGGCACUUCAGGAGGCCUCACCAAUUGGGCCACGACAAAUGCACACAUGAGGAGAGUCCCAGGCCUUUCUGUGAAUGACCAGCUCUGACUACGAGUUACAAAGAUGAGGGCUUGACUGAUGAUACUGACUUGUAAAUAUAUGGCAGAUGAGAUUUGCUCAUCAUUGUCACUUAAAGAUUUCACUUUAAAGUAAGUCUGCACAAAAGAACCACAUGAGAAAGUCCGUAACGGGUGAAAAUUGCCAAGAUAUUUUUUCCUUUGAUGAAUCCAAAAAUGAUGAAGAAACAAGUGGUCAAACCUCAAAAAAGUUUGUUUCUGUGAUGAUCCAGUAAAAGAGCACGGUAACUAACGCAAGGUAUGUCCCUAUGACAACGCCAGUUGCAAAUAUCUCAUUAAGCUUCCAGCUAUCAGGCAUUGGUGAUGGCUUGACAUAAUCUUUGGCAAUGGUCAUGAUAGUUCCUGGUUUGCAAACAAGGGAGAGAUGAGCAAUGUGUUUCUUAAUCUUGUUAAGUUUCCUCCAUAUUUUACUGAAAGAAGAAAUUCCAUGUUCCCAACUGAGCAUUUAGAUAGGGCUAAGCAAGCGCAAUGUUGAAGACAGGAUGUACCAUCGUUUAGAAUAGCUAUUAUAAGAACCAUGAAGGGUGGGAAAUCAUAUUUCCAUAUCAAUGCGAGGAGAACAAAUCCUAGCUGCAAGAAGAAACCAAUUUGGAGAUGAGUGCACUUCCAAGUUUUUUCUCAUGUUUCUCAAAUGGCACAGUCAGACAUACCACAAUCCUUAUCGUUAUUGAUACUGCAUAAAUCUGCAAAUACCAAAUGGAGUAGUCAAUACACUAUUAUGAGUUCAAAUGCAGAAAUAAGAAAAACGUCAAUGCUUAACUGUAUAGUUCUUCAUUCUCUGGAAUAUAGCUCUGCUAGUCAAGACAGCGCUGAUUAUUACACUUAACCCAGGUUCUGUCAGGACUAUGUCGGCAGCACCUCUGGCAGCAUCUGUGGAAUCAGAGACAGCUAUUCCAAUAUCGGCUUUCUUUAAAGCUGGGGCAUCAUUCAC